AGAGUUUGAUCCUGGCUCAGAUUGAACGCUGGCGGAAUGCUUUACACAUGCAAGUCGAACGGCAGCACGGGAGCUUGCUCCUGGUGGCGAGUGGCGAACGGGUGAGUAACAUAUCGGAACGUAUCCAAUAAUGGGGGAUAACUAAUCGAAAGGUUGGCUAAUACCGCAUACGCCCUGAGGGGGAAAGCUGGGGAUCUUCGGACCUGGCGUUAAUGGAGCGGCCGAUAUCUGAUUAGCUAGUUGGUGAGGUAAAGGCUCACCAAGGCGACGAUCAGUAGCUGGUCUGAGAGGACGACCAGCCACACUGGAACUGAGACACGGUCCAGACUCCUACGGGAGGCAGCAGUGGGGAAUUUUGGACAAUGGGCGCAAGCCUGAUCCAGCCAUUCCGCGUGAGUGAAGAAGGCCUUCGGGUUGUAAAGCUCUUUCGCAAGGGAAGAAAACUUAGUUACUAAUAUUAACUGAGGUUGACGGUACCUUGAUAAGAAGCACCGGCUAACUACGUGCCAGCAGCCGCGGUAAUACGUAGGGUGCGAGCGUUAAUCGGAAUUACUGGGCGUAAAGCGUGCGCAGGCGGUUUUGUAAGUCAGAUGUGAAAUCCCCGGGCUCAACCUGGGAACUGCGUUUGAAACUACAAGACUAGAGUGUGUCAGAGGGGGGUAGAAUUCCACGUGUAGCAGUGAAAUGCGUAGAGAUGUGGAGGAAUACCGAUGGCGAAGGCAGCCCCCUGGGAUAACACUGACGCUCAUGCACGAAAGCGUGGGGAGCAAACAGGAUUAGAUACCCUGGUAGUCCACGCCCUAAACGAUGUCAACU
rnacentral:rRNA from 1 species